rnacentral:rRNA from 1 species
UACGGAGGGUGCGAGCGUUGUCCGGAAUCACUGGGCGUAAAGGGCGCGUAGGCGGCAGGAGAAGUCAAUGGUGAAAGCUCGAGGCUCAACCUCGAGUCGGCCGUCGAUACUCUCUUGCUCGAGCACAGUAGAGGCAGAUGGAAUUCCGGGUGUAGCGGUGGAAUGCGUAGAGAUCCGCAAGAACACCAGUGGCGAAGGCGGCUCACUGGCCCGAUACUGACGCUGAGGCACGAAAGCGUGGGGAGCAAACAGG